GGGCCACUAGCUCAAUUGGUAGAGCAGGUCCCUCUUAAGGACAAGGUCGAAGGUUCGACUCCUUCGUGGCCCACCA
rnacentral:tRNA from 1 species